UAAAAGCAUAAUUAAAAGGAAAAGCAACCAAUCGUGAGCUCUGCACCAACUUCAAAGGAUGAGGAAAUAAACCCUAUUCUCCUAGGACAAAAAUUUACAUAACAAUUUCUGGAUAUCCCCAAAUUUAACAGUUAAUGCAGAAUCUUUUCUGACCAACAAGAAUUUUCAGAGGUUCAAGCCAGAUGUCUACUAUAGCCGCACAAGCAGCUGAAUAAAGGGUAAAUAUGAAGAGAAGGUUCAACUAAACCAUAUCUCGAUGAAAAUAGUGUGGUUCCAGCCACCUCUGAAGACUCAAGUCUCCAACUAGUAAAUGAAGGCCCAGAUUGGUAUGUAAAUACAGGAAUUAUUUGCUUAUAAUACACAGGUAGCUGACAAGAAUAAUUUUAUUACGGCUUAAAUUAUGUUUUUACAGCAGACAUUUAUCAACAGUCCAAUUAUCUGAAUACUAUGUCAGGAAAAAUGAAACAAAAAAGCAAAACAGAAACCAAAAACAACCCAACAAAAUAAACUUUCAGAGGAAGCAAAGACAACAUGGCAAGAUGAUUAGGAAAGUACUAAUUUGCAGGAAAUAUUUUAUCAACAAAAAGAGCAGUGACAUUAGAAGGAGCAAGAACCUCAUUAGUCACUAAGGAAAAGUUUUGCACAAAAAGACAAAGCCUCCACAACACUACAGAAUGAGGUGCAAUGAGGGUGGCCCCAGGUCUUUCACCAUUCAGGUUGUUUCCUGUACCAUAUGGUCAAACAUAAUAAUCUUCUUAACUGACUCUAUUAAGAGAAGAGCUUAGAAAAGUAGAGAGCUGUCUGGCCUUAUACAGAGAGUAGACUCCAGGUUCCCUCUCCAGAUACCUCCCCUCCAUAAGAGAGUUUCAGUAAUAAAAUAAUUCUUUAGUUUAUUUGUAGCAAAGCCUGAUCCUUAUAAUUUUGCAUACAGACACAGACAUGUAAAACCUACUCAUUAUGUGUGACUCCUGCAAGUAGUAAGGAGAAGGGAGAGAUAAUUAUUAUGGUUCCUUUAUUUUAACCAUUGAAAAUUCUUAGGUACCGUUAAGCAGUAAAACAUGGAGAAAGAGAUUUAAAGAAAUACUAACCAUAGAAUAAUACCACAAAUCUUUAUUCUUGGCAACUGUUCCAUAUGAAUGAUAUGCCCAUAUUUCCACACAAGAUACCUCAGAGCACUUCUGCUCUAUGGUAAGGAAAAGGGAGACACUGCUCUGUGAUUCUUGCCUUGUGGCAAGAUGUGGUUUUGUCCCUCAGAACAAGAUCAGUUUGCCCCAAUUCUCAUGCAGAUGUUGGAAACUGAACUGAUGAGCACUGGGAAAUAGACAUUUUAUAAAAUGAAAGAGCUACAAUAUCUUAGAGUUAUUCCCAGAAGGUCAAAGCCUGCCUAGAUUUCAAACAUGCCCCUCUACAAAUGCUUUAAGACAGCUGAAGGUCCUCAUUCAACUUUCUUUCAUCUAUCCAAGAAGGCAGAGGUCACCCUUCUUCCAAAUUUUAGUUCAAACUGUAAAGACCAACUCAAUGUUGUGUGCAGCCAGACUCUGUCCUUGAAAACAGAGACAGAGCCAGUUUACCUCCUGAAGGGCUUGGCAGUUGAGGAUUUUUAUUCCUUACUUCAUGUACUAACUUGUAAGCAACUAGCCAAAAGAUGAGAUUGAGUAAUGUCUGCAGGCUGUGAUGUUCUGGCAUUCAAAACAAAUCUGACAGAUUUCAGACAGCUUCAAGGUCAGGAGUUCUGACUUUAAAAGGGCUGAGUUCUAAAAGUUCUACUGAAGCUUAAUCGAGAAUUUUGGUUUUGUCUAUUUUAGGUAUCAUAGGAUGUAAUCUCAUGAAAGUAUUCAUGCUAAAAACACCCAGGCAAAUUCACAUAUAUAAAAAUUAGAUAAACUCUAUAUGGUCUGAAUUAGCAAUCUGUUUAUCUGUAUUCAUCUACAGUCAUCAUGCUGACUACAGCAUUUGACAGUCUGAAUAUAAAAGUUAAUAAUCUGAAAUUGUUAUAGUCCAGAAAAAAGUCACAGGCAAGGAUUUUAUAUCAGCCUGCAAUGACAGAGAAAAGCCAAAACAGGUACACCAAUUGUUGACUAGAUUUUUUUAAAAAUUACAAGGGAAUGAGAAAUAGCAUGCAUAAUUGACUCAAGAAUCUCCAACAGCCUUUCUGGUUUUUCCACUGAAAUAAAAUAGAAGUUCUAAUUCACUCCUCUUUCCUAUGUGACAAGGGUUCUAACAGAUUUAAAAUAUAAUGCAAUCACUGUGGCUAAAAUUAUGUUCAAAAUGGAUGCGUCUAUUCAGUUGAAAGUUCUAUAUUUAAGUCUAAUGUGUUCUAUGAGCAGUACAUUGGGAAUAUAUGACAACAAAUUUAUAAGUCUCUGUAUUAGCUUAUUCAUUUUCAUGUUAACACCAUGUACACAGCAGAAUUACAAUUCCAAAAUCACUUGGAAUUUAAUAAAUAAUAGCUAUUAAUAUCAUUGCCCUCAAAGUACAUGGAAUUCUUGUUAUGAUUCUUAUAUAAUUAAUGCAGUCUGAUAUGGUGAAAGUGUAAAAAUGUCAAAUCCAAUGUAUAAACAAUAUUGUGCCCUCAAGUUAGUCAGCAGCUCAAACACAUGUUUUGGAACAUGACUGGUCUGAGCCUACACAUUUCUGUUUUUAGUAUGUGUGAUUCUAUCAAAUAUGUUCAAAGUUAAAUUUCUGGUUACGUUCUGUACUAGUAGCUAUAAAAACUAAUGACUGUACUGCAGGCUGGAAUAUUUGUGUCGUUUCUACCAGGAUAAAUCAAGAGUAAUUUCACCAUGGUGCCUAAGUACCUUCUCACUGAAAUAUCAACUAGUAAAUUUUUAAGUAACAGACAAAUCCAAAGCAAGACUUGAUGGCUGGAAGGCACAUGGCAUUUAUACUUUAGCUAUUUUAGUAAUGAUAUUCAUUAACUAGUGUAACAAAUGACCAAAGAAUAUGACAAAUAUACCUUUCUGAAAUGUCUUCCUAUUAAGCACAGACUGCUUUAUACAGGUGUCAAAAGGUAAAACUCCACAAUGCUAAGCAGACAGAGUCCUAAACUGACCCCUCCUCAUUUGAAAACUCUCCAGUCAGAGGACUGACGCUUCGUGAAUCCACAUUUAAUGAAGAAACACCGGGAUGCACGGCACGUGCCUGCAGGACAGCUGUGUGCGUGUGAUCCCCAAGGCAAGAAUACGUCCAGGUGGCUCCUGAGGACACAAACUCUUUCUUUCCCACGCCAGUCAGGACUGCCUAACAGCAAAAGGCUUCAUCAGCCCAGACUGCUAGUUCAGGUUUCUCACCAUGGUCCAGAUAUGGCAUUAUCGAAUGACUGACUAACGGUGAAAUGUUAAGUGAUGUAUUUUCAGGUAUGUAGCAAAUCAAUAAUAUCUAUGUCUUUAAAACAUAUUUUUAUACAUGCAUGUAUAUAUUUAAAGCUAUACCACAGACUCUUUUUUAUUAAUUUCAAAUGUAUAAUGUAACUUUAAUGAAGCAUGCAUUUUUCUCCAUGAUUUAUCAAUAGUUAAAGCAGCAAGGAGAAAUAAAUUUAUUUUAGGGAUAAAACAUUGAAAAAUGUGUUCAUCUAAUGGAUACCAUUAAAAUAAUAGAGUCAUAGAAUCUUUUCAUUUGGAAAAGAUCCUUAACAUCAUCAAGUCCAGGAAUAUUCUUUCUUCUUUCAUGAAGACAGGUUUAUGUUAAGGGAGUUUCCGGACUGUCAAAAGUGACCAACUUGUUUUCAAAUGAGGAAGGCUUGAAACCAAAGGUCACCAAAAUCAUUCAUCCACUUAGUGGCAUCCUUUUGGGCUAGCAGGCUGGGCGUAUAGAGACAUCCAAGAGCAACAGAAGAUAUUGUCUUUAAUACUUUGGCUACUAGCUUCCCUUUUCCCACUGCUGCAGAUUCAGAUUAGGCACUACCCUCUAUGCCCACAGACCCUCAGCAUCAACAAAUGACACAUGCAGCACGGGAUCCAUGCUUGAACUACUGCAAUUCAGGUAGAGUGCUACAGGCUGGUUAAUCUCCAUUUUGACAACACAUCUGCAAAUGUUAGCUUGUCCCUUUGGGCCAUUUCAUUUGUUAAUUUAGUUUUGAUGCGGGUGGACAGAUGAGCAUUUGAUAUAAGUAACAGCUUUGAGCCAUGAAAUUCAGAUCUAGACUUCUCAAGGUGUAGAAAAUUGGUGGUAAGAUUCACUUUCUGAUAUAAACAUGUCUUUAAAUAUAAACUAUUCAGACUGGAUCUAUGAUUUUUCCAAGAUGCCAGAGUUCAAUACUUUCUGACCAGGUUCUUCUAGGUAUUCCAUGUGUGGAGGGUGUAAUGUUUAAUAUCACAUUUACCUAUUUGAUUGUAUCUGAUGUUACACAGGAUUUUUGAUUUAGCAGUGUGGUACUUCAAUAUACUGAAAUCACAAUAAAAGUGUAAGUUAGCAAAAUACAGCAGUUGCAAUACACAGUUCAAUCACAGUACCAACAUGAACCCUGUUACCAGUCUCUAUAAUAUGCUCACCAUCACAACACUAAGUGUCCCCAGGAAGGAGUACAUGGGGACAUGUAUUAAAGCAGCUCAAGUCCAUUUCUCUCUUCAAAAUGCUUUUGUUUAGUUUUAUACUCUGUUGGACUGAUCCAUAUAUACAUGUACACCACCAGUUGAGCCACUCAACUGUGAUGCAGUCAUUUGAUCCACUCAACUGACAUAGCUGUUUAUCUAAAAUAAAGGCCACCCUCUGGUCCCCUUUGUGUUGAGAUAAAGUCAGGUUAAUUUGCAAAGCCAUGGUGAGUCACACCCUACAUUAUUCUGAGGUUUAUGGACACAUCGCCCUCACCCAUCUCCUCUCAGGCUUCCUCCAUUGCAGGGGUUUCUUGAUCAAUCACACAAGACAAGUCUCUGAUACUCAACUUGCAAUGUUAAGCUUGACAGUCCUUCCAAAUAGGUGACAGAUUUUAGAUGCACACCAAUGUAUUACAGCACACUGCCAGAAAGCCUAGCCUACCUGCACAGUAUAUAAAUCUGUAAGGAACAAAACAGUGCUUUUAAAUAAUGGGUGGUACUUAUUCAAGAGUGACUGUAAACAUCAACUUUUAUUUGUCUACAGAAGACCGCUAUCAAUAAUUGCUGUAUUUUACAGACCUACAGUACUCUCUAAAGCUCUGCAAUUCAGCAUCUCAUUCAUCUCAGAUGGGUGUCAGGAGAGCUUUCAAAGGUCUGAAAUGCCCCUCUGCAAAUGUUGAUACUUACUUGUCCAGAUGCACAGAUGGCCAUUUACUGAAACCAAAUUAUUAUGUACAUUUUCAUUAAUUUUUGUGAUGUUGUUAGGGAAAAUUGUAGCAUUUUCUAAUGGACUGGAUGAUCACCCCUUGGGGCAAACCUCUUUGCCUUUCUGCAGUAAUUAAAAGCAAUAGAGUUUCCAAACCUGCCCACAGUGAUUAUUUAAAAAAAAAAAAUAAAAUUAAAAAAUA